ensembl:lncRNA
CUUCACUAUCUCCGGGAUAGCGAUUUGCACAAACAAGUGACCACUGAGUCAACGAUGCCAUCCAACCAUCUCAUGUCACCCUCUGUCUCACCCUUCUCCUCCUGCCCUCAAUCUUUCCUAGCAUCAGGAUCUUUUCCGAACCACAUGAAAGUACUGGAGCAUAGACGGGGUGCCACCCGGGGCCUUAGAAGGUCCUGAGCAACCGAGCUUCAUUAACUUCAUGGGAAUUCUCCCUCUGCUUGUAGACUAUUGGGGUGAAGUUGCAUCCUUAGGGAUUACUUCCUCCACCUCCACACCUGCACACUUCUCUGUGGGCAGGGCCCCUGGGCAUGGGGAUAAAGACUAAUCCAGCAGGAGGAAGACUGGAAAGGUCCCUGCUUUGGGGACCUCCCAAAUUGAAAUUAAUCACAGCUAGCAUUUACUUCUCACUCGGUGCUCUGCACUGUUGUAAGAGCUAUGUGGAUAUUGACCCAUUUAAUCCUCCCAAUCACUCCAUAAACUCCAGGGCCUAAAAUUAUGACUGGAACAUAAACAAACAUUGAAGAAUGCAAGAUGCAAGAAUAUCUGCAAAAUGCAAGAUUAAUGAUGAGUAAAUUAAAA